rnacentral:rRNA from 1 species
GGAUGAACGCUGGCGGCGUGCCUAAUACAUGCAAGUCGAGCGAACAGACAAGGAGCUUGCUCCUUUGACGUUAGCGGCGGACGGGUGAGUAACACGUGGGUAACCUACCUAUAAGACUGGGAUAACUUCGGGAAACCGGAGCUAAUACCGGAUAAUAUUUCGAACCGCAUGGUUCGAUAGUGAAAGAUGGUUUUGCUAUCACUUAUAGAUGGACCCGCGCCGUAUUAGCUAGUUGGUAAGGUAACGGCUUACCAAGGCGACGAUACGUAGCCGACCUGAGAGGGUGAUCGGCCACACUGGAACUGAGACACGGUCCAGACUCCUACGGGAGGCAGCAGUAGGGAAUCUUCCGCAAUGGGCGAAAGCCUGACGGAGCAACGCCGCGUGAGUGAUGAAGGUCUUCGGAUCGUAAAACUCUGUUAUUAGGGAAGAACAUACGUGUAAGUAACUAUGCACGUCUUGACGGUACCUAAUCAGAAAGCCACGGCUAACUACGUGCCAGCAGCCGCGGUAAUACGUAGGUGGCAAGCGUUAUCCGGAAUUAUUGGGCGUAAAGCGCGCGUAGGCGGUUUAAGUCUGAUGUGAAAAGCCCACGGCUCAACCGUGGAGGGUCAUUGGAAACUGGAAAACUUGAGUGCAGAAGAGGAAAGUGGAAUUCCAUGUGUAGCGGUGAAAUGCGCAGAGAUAUGGAGGAACACCAGUGGCGAAGGCGACUUUCUGGUCUGUAACUGACGCUGAUGUGCGAAAGCGUGGGGAUCAAACAGGAUUAGAUACCCUGGUAGUCCACGCCGUAAACGAUGAGUGCU